UUUUUUUUUUUUGUGAACCGAGUUAAUUCCAGAAAAAAAGGACGAUGUGAGGCGGGUCGUAUUUCGUUCCGCGCGCGCGAUUAUAGUAUGCAGAAUACAACAGGACACACGCGUGCCUAUGUAGUGAACUCGAAGGGGAGGGUAGUGCAAUUGUGUUCGGAAUAGAAAACUAUAUAUGCACACACAUACACAUAUGCACAUACACGGAGAAAUCGUCGUGAGGAGGGAGCCCGCUGCUGUAUCGCAGCCUCCGCGACGAACGACGACGAAACGAAAAGGUACCUAUUAUUAUAAACGCGCGGACGAGCGGCGUGCGGGGGGGGGGGUCAGCGAACCACGGCGAUGGGCGACAGGUGUAGGGGAAGCUAGGGGGGGGUAUCAACGUUUUGGGAGAUUGUGUCUGUACAUAGAGGGUCCACCGCCUCCGCCACCACCGUGACUCGACGGAUUUAAUUUAAAACUUUUCCGGGUCGACAAAAACUCCCCUCUGAUGCCUAGCCCUUCGAGUCCCCCCUUCGCUCUUGCUUACCACACUCUCCUCCCUCCACCGGGAAUUCAGACACGUGUUCUAUCGUGUCGCCUUUGCUGUCGUGUCUUCGUCGAGAUCACCGCGGCGGACA